ACCUUUUAGAAAACUCAAAGUUUUGACCCUUUCUGCUAGGGUUUCAACCCAGCAAAGUGCAACCAUCAAACCACCACCAUACGGUGGACAACAGCGCACAGACAAUGACCGAUUUUGCCAACAGAGGAGAACCCCGACUAUGCCCACGGUGGUUUGGUAUGGUGGACGUGGCUUGGACGUGGUACAGGGAUGUGCGUGGAGAACGGUGGUGGAGGACGUGGGUAGUGCGUGGAGGUGGAGGCGACGCCGGCCAAAGGGAGAGCCUCAAUGCAGGGUUUGUUAUUUCUGGAAAAAAAAUUUGGGCCAUUGGGCUUGUGUAAUCAAGCCAAAAUUAUAUUUUGGGCCAACAUUUAAAACUGGGCUGUAAAAUUUGUAUUGGACUGUUAUUAUUUAUUUUUGGUUUUUUUAUUUUUUAUGUAUAUGGGCUCAGGUAAAAUUCGGGUCUUACAGCUGCCCCUCUUUGCUCGUUGUCGUGUAACGAGAAUGAAUCAAAGACCACAAAAAGGCCAAUUUUGCCCGAUCUUGCCACA